GCCCUCACAAUCAAGUCAUGCAUUGAAUAUCUCGUCUCUUCCUUCCCCUAACGGAUCAAAACCCUAACAAUUCAUAAACUUCGUCUCAUCAGCUCCUAUCUGUGAUUAUUUCAAUUCUUUCCCCCAACAGAGAUACACUUGAAAUCGAUGAAUGGGUGUAGAAAUCGAUCAAAUGGUACCUGUAAUUGACUCGGUUUGGGUUAGUUUCGAGAAUGGGAGAAGAAUUGAAGAUUGAUCCGUUUCGUGGGUGACUUGGUGCGCAUAUCUAAGGCCCGUGACAACCGGAUCAACUACUGUUCAAGUUGAGAAUAUUGAAAGAGCAAUCGAGAGGCAAAGAGUCGUUCAAGAGCACCUUCAUCUGUCGUCCUUCGAUUUUUCAAUCGCUUUUCCAAUUGAUCGUGAUGAUGAACAGAAGAAACUGUUGAUGUUGAAUGAUGAUGAGUCCACACCAAAAGAUAAAGGUUAUGGUUGGGGACCAAAAUGUCGGAAUUAUUGGAUUAAUCAGAUUUUUAAAAGGGUUGCUACAUAAAAGUUAAUGGCAACUGUAGACCUCAACACACUUGCAUAGAAGUUGUUCGUUUCGGCUCACACUAUACACUAUAUGAGAAAAUCCAACAUUCAACAUUAAUCAAUAAAAAAGGUUCUUUGUGUCUGACGAUUCCAAAUCAACAGUGACGAUGGCAACAGUGCGACCAAUGGCGAUGACAGUGUUGCUGUCAUCAAGGGGGUUGUAUCUCUGUAUAUACAUGUCCGCAACCUCUGUAUUUUCCUGUCUUUGUUCAUAGCAGGAGCUUUUUUAUCCAUUAUUGUAAUUGGUGUGCUCGAUCUAUAUCCUGUCUUUGCAUUAGAUAACUUCACCACUAGGUAAACGUCCGUAUCCUGCUAAAUCAAUUGAUGUUGUUUUACAAUAGCAAUUCUUAAUUGAUUUGUAGGAGUUUUUUAGAUUUGGGACUAAGGACUCUUGAGUUCCUACAAUAGCAGUUCUUUGUUUAUACAAGAGUUUGGAUUCACAUCAAGUUGGGUUCUUUUAGUUUGUUUUCUGCUUAUUCAUGAUAAAUAUGAUAUUUAUGGUUAUGUCUAUGAAAGGUCAGUACUCUUUAGUUCAAGAUUCUAAGUGGAAAAUUUAAAUUAACUAAUGGCAGUGUAGUAGUGACAAACCUAAGGUUAGGAUACUUGCACAAAUUUUGUUGUUGAGUAUGAAUUAAGCAUUUGCUUGAAAGUGUAUUUGAUAUUCAUUUGUUGCCACUACCAUGUACCCAAACAAAAAUAACAUGAAUAUGCUGUUUGUGUAACAAAUAACAACUUACUGAUAGCACUUUUUUUUAGUUUUGAUGUCGAAUUCAAUUACAUUUAGAGGGGGCAAUCUUGAUCCAAAGCCUUCCAAGUGGGUCAGUUUAGGUUGCUUUUAACAUUAUAUGGGUUGGUUUGCGUAAGAUAUUUUAACUAAAUAGGUCACAACGGGUCACUUGAAAUUCCAUCUUGUUAUUUUCGGGUCAAAGCGGGUCGACAACAUUAAAUAAAUGGGUCGAUGUGGGUUAGUGUCUUAAAGAAACGGGGAAGGUUUCGGAUCGGAAUGGGUUCGAGUCGACACAAGUAUCCGCACGAGACGGGUUAGGCACGAAACGGGUUUGGAUCGGAACGAGUUCAGUUCAAAUUGAGUUUCGGGCCGAGACGGGUUUCGGCACGACACAGUUUUUGGAUCGAAACGGGGUCGGUUCUGUAGAUGCAUAUGUCUGUAGCUUUCGUCUGUAUUUAGUCUAUAUUAACCUGGUUGUUGUCUUUGUAGAGUUUUUGUAUAUGUUUCAUAUAAUAUCCGGGACGAAACGGUAGUUAACCGUUUUAUAAAGUCCAUCCGGACGGAUGGAGUCCAUCCGAUCGGAUGGACAUGCUCAUCUAGACGGAUGAUCAUCCGAACGGUGUGAUGGUUUCUCCCGGAUGGAGCGCGCCUAUAAGGGUGAGAGGGGCACUCCUCUCUUAGGGGAGUCCCCUCUCUUACACACACCCAAUCAGCACGUGCCACGUCAACUCCCCUCUUAAGUCCCCAUUUUGCACUCAAACGUUGGCAUCACUCCACUCACACAAUUAUUUUUU
rnacentral:lncRNA from 1 species